rnacentral:rRNA from 1 species
GACGAACGCUGGCGGCGUGCUUAACACAUGCAGGUCGAGCGGUAAGGCCUCUUCGGGGGUACACGAGCGGCGAACGGGUGAGUAACACGUGGGUGACCUGCCCUCAGCUCUGGGAUAAGCCUGGGAAACUGGGUCUAAUACCGGAUAUGACCUUUCCUCGCAUGGGGUUUGGUGGAAAGUUUUUUCGGCUGGGGAUGGGCCCGCGGCCUAUCAGCUUGUUGGUGGGGUGAUGGCCUACCAAGGCGACGACGGGUAGCCGGCCUGAGAGGGCGACCGGCCACCCUGGGACUGAGACACGGCCCAGACUCCUACGGGAGGCAGCAGUGGGGAAUAUUGCGCAAUGGGCGGAAGCCUGACGCAGCGACGCCGCGUGGGGGAUGACGGCCUUCGGGUUGUAAACCUCUUUCGACCCCGACGAAUUUGGACGGUAGGGGUAGAAGAAGCACCGGCCAACUACGUG